rnacentral:rRNA from 1 species
CCCUUAGAUGUCCUGGGCCGCACGCGCGCUACACUGAACGGAUCAGCGCGUUUUCCCUUCCCGAGAGGGACGGGUAACCUGCUGAACCCCGUUCGUGGUAGGGAUCGGGGCUUGCAAUUAUUCCCCGUGAACCAGGAAUGCCCAGUAAGUGCAAGUCAUAAGCUUGCGUUGAUUACGUCCCUGCCCUUUGUACACACCGCCCGUCGCUACUACCGAUUGAACGUUUUAGUGAGGUACUCGGACUGGGCCUCAGAAGAUUCACGUCUUUUGUGCUGCUCGGGAAGAUUCCCAAACUUGAGCGUUUAGAGGAAGUAAAAGUCGUAACA